CACAGCUGCCGCUGACACGGGUCCUGUUGUCCCACGCUCACGGCAACCCCGUGACGUUUGUCGGAUGUACAUGUACCCACUUCCCAGAUAAAGAAGGGCAAAAACAGAAGGUGACGUUCUGGGGAAGGGAGGAAACUGGGUCAAGUCCUACAGAUGAGUGACUGUCUUUUGGGAAAAAGACCAGAGCAUCCUGUGGUGGGAACAGAAACCGCACCCUCGAGCAGCCAGGACGGCCCUAGGCCCGUGAGACCCCGUGACUGACCCCGAGACAGUGACGGACCUGACCUUCACCGCCUACCUGCCCACGUCCUCCUCCUGUAGGCCUGGAGCUGUUUUCCACCCUUGGGGGACGGUCUUUGAGGCGCUGGUCCGCGGGCUUCCCGGGCCUGGCUCCGCGAAACGAACGCCUGUCCUGUCUCACCCCCGCCGUCUCCCUGCCUUUGAUGCUGCCAGCGGCGCGUGGCUGACCUGGUCCAUCGGGGACCCCACCCCAGCGCCCCGGCCACGCUUGCCUUUCGAGGCUGUCUUGCACGUAGAGCACGCGUGUGUACAUCCACCGACGGGCACGCGGCCGCCGACUCCUGCCGGCUGCUGGGAACGCGGGUGUGGUUUAUCUUCGAGAACCUGCUUACUGCUCUCUGCGCUCCCGCCGGGCGUGGGAUGGCUGUGGUGUUGGUAUUUUUAAAGGGAUUUAACAAAUCAUGUUGAAAGACUUCCCUGAAGUUUUAGUCUUGAAUGCACUAAUCAGUAACUAAAAUUAUAGCGCCUGAUAGAAACAACUUACGUGGGUUUUGGGGGGACAUUCUCAAAGGAGUUUUUAAAAAUAAGGUAUUUAUUUAUUUGCGAGAGAGCGGGGGAGAA